AUCAUGACCAGUACAGUAGGUAUGUGUCAGAAAGGCCUGAGGGUUGAAUCAUGACCAGUACAGUAGGUAUGUGUCAGAAAGGCCUGAGGGUUGAAUCAUGACCAGUACAGUAGGUAUGUGUCAGAAAUGAAACCCUAGUCCUAACAAAGUGCUCUACUGUUGACCAGGGUCUAUGGUCUCUGGUUGAAAGUAGGUCACUGAGUGUACAAAACAUUAGGAACACCUGCUCUUUCCAUGACAGACUGACCAGGUGAAAGCUAUGAUCCCUUAUUGAUGUCACUUGUUAAAUCCACUUGCACAUGGAUUGUGCAUGUGUGCCAUUGAUGGUCAAUGGGCAAUCAACAUAUUGAAAUGCCUUUGAACAGGGUUUGGUAACAGGUGUCAGGCGCACCGGUUUCAGUGUCAAGAACUGCAACAGCUUUCUGUGUGGAUUAAGAAAGGACCACCACUCAAAGGACAUCCAACCAACUUGACACAACUGUGGGAAGCAUUGGAGUCAACAUUUCUGAAUCUUAUUUUGGUCCAUUAUCAAUUGUUAAAGGGAAAGUAUGUUUUUAUAUCUAAAUUCUAUGCAUUUUAUUUUCUCAGUGUAUUUUCCAUAGAAUACAGACAGUGCUCUGACAUGUAUAUAGCCACCAUGAAAUCACGUGGGACUGGGGGUUUGUGUAUAUCUUUCUUUCAACAGGAUACUUUUGAACUAAUCAAAAAUGGUUUAGUGAUUAAACUGACACUUGUGAAAUAUUA